rnacentral:rRNA from 1 species
UNCCACGUGUAGCAGUGAAAUGCGUAGAGAUGUGGAGGAAUACCGAUGGCGAAGGCAGCCCCCUGGGAUAAUACUGACGUUCAUGCUNGAAAGCGUGGGUAGCAAACAGGAUUAGAUACCCUGGUAGUCCACGCCCUAAACGAUGUCGAUUAGCUGUUGGGCAACUUGAUUGCUUAGUAGCGUAGCUAACGCGUGAAAUCGACCGCCUGGGGAGUACGGUCGCAAGAUUAAAACUCAAAGGAAUUGACGGGGACCCGCACAAGCGGUGGAUGAUGUGGAUUAAUUCGAUGCAACGCGAAGAACCUUACCUGGUCUUGACAUGUACGGAAGAACUCAGAGACGAGUUUGUGCCUUCGGGAGCCGUAACACAGGUGCUGCAUGGCUGUCGUCAGCUCGUGUCGUGAGAUGUUGGGUUAAGUCCCGCAACGAGCGCAACCCUUGUCAUUAGUUGCCAUCAUUUAGUUGGGCACUCUAAUGAGACUGCCGGUGACAAACCGGAGGAAGGUGGGGAUGACGUCAAGUCCUCAUGGCCCUUAUGACCAGGGCUUCACACGUCAUACAAUGGUCGGUACAGAGGGUAGCCAAGCCGCGAGGUGGAGCCAAUCCCAGAAAACCGAUCGUAGUCCGGAUUGCACUCUGCAACUCGAGUGCAUGAAGUCGGAAUCGCUAGUAAUCGCAGGUCAGCAUACUGCGGUGAAUACGUUCCCGGGUCUUGUACACACCGCCCGUCACACCAUGGGAGUGGGGGAUACCAGAAG